AGUACAGGAUGGACCCGCGUCUGAUUAGCUAGUUGGUAAGGUAACGGCUUACCAAGGCGACGAUCAGUAGCCGACCUGAGAGGGUGAUCGGCCACAUUGGAACUGAGACACGGUCCAAACUCCUACGGGAGGCAGCAGUGGGGAAUAUUGCACAAUGGGCGAAAGCCUGAUGCAGCAACGCCGCGUGAGUGAUGAAGGCCUUCGGGUCGUAAAACUCUGUCCUCAAGGAAGAUAAUGACGGUACUUGAGGAGGAAGCCCCGGCUAACUACGUGCCAGCAGCCGCGGUAAUACGUAGGGGGCUAGCGUUAUCCG
rnacentral:rRNA from 1 species